AAUAGCUCAAAUUUGAAAGCUGGCGUCUUCGACGUCCGCGUUGUAAUUUGUAGAGGAUGCUUCGGCGAGGACUCCUGCCUAAGUCCCCUGGAACGGGGCGUCACAGAGGGUGAGAAUCCCGUAUGUGGCGGGCGGUCCAAGCCAUGUGAAGCUCCUUCGACGAGUCGAGUUGUUUGGGAAUGCAGCUCUAAAUGGGAGGUAAAUUUCUUCUAAAGCUAAAUAUUGGCCAGAGACCGAUAGCGCACAAGUAGAGUGAUCGAAAGAUGAAAAGCACUUUGGAAAGAGAGUUAAAAAGUACGUGAAAUUGUUGAAAGGGAAGCGCUUGCAACCAGACUCGCUCGCAGUUGCUCAGCCGGCCUCUUGGCCGGUGUACUCUUCUGCGAUCGGGCCAGCAUCAGUUCGGGCGGCUGGAUAAAGGUGUCGGGAAUGUAGCACCGUUCGGGGUGUGUUAUAGCCCGGCGCGGAAUGCGGCCAGCCUGGACUGAGGAUCUCGCCUCGGCAAGGAUGCUGGCGUAAUGGUUGUAAGCGGCCCGUCUUG
rnacentral:rRNA from 1 species